UACGGUAGGGGGCAAGCGUUGUCCGGAAUCAUUGGGCGUAAAGAGCGUGUAGGCGGCUCGAUAAGUCUGCUGUGAAAGUCCAGGGCUCAACCCUGGAAGGCCGGUGGAAACUGUCGGGCUAGAGUCCGGAAGAGGCGAGUGGAAUUCCCGGUGUAGCGGUGAAAUGCGCAGAUAUCGGGAGGAACACCAAUGGCGAAGGCAGCUCGCUGGGACGGUACUGACGCUGAGACGCGAAAGCGUGGGGAGCAAACAGG
rnacentral:rRNA from 1 species